GUGCGAUCGAGCAGAGGCAGGAGAACAAGGUGAAACCCUAGUUUCACCAAUUCCAUCAAAUUGGACAGAAAUCUCAUGGAUAAUCAAAUGCAUGUGAUCAAUUCCUCAGUUAUCUAAGGGUUUUCCAUCAUGGGGAGUCAUGUCAAUAGGGACACGAAUAUGGAAGCGCUUCGGGUCGAAGGUAAACAUGGAAGCCACAUAUAAAUUGGACGCACGAGGUAAGUAAACACCCGGACUCCCUCUCUGUAGUAAAAGAGAUUAAUUGUAUGAUAAUUGUUAGAAGUUGUGUUGAAAUGCGUUAUUGAUGAUGAUAUCAAGUAAGUAGUAUUAAGUAAGUGAUUUCCGAAUCACUUCUUAGUUUAUUUAAGCAAAGUUAUGUGCUAGUUACUUAAGCAUGAUAAUUGAAGCCUAUUAAGAUUUGGUUAUUUAGAAGCAAAGGUUUUCGCUAUGUAGACCAACGGGUCAAAAUAAGGAAGUUUUACUAAUGAAGUUCAAUUACGUAUAAUUGAUUGAAAUGAAUGAAAUUAAUGCAUACCGGGAAUCGGGUUCAUAAACCCCAUGUGUGGAACUCCGGAUAGUGUAAACCCUUUUACAGUUAUAAUGUUCAUGUGAGUUUUGAGUAUAAACAAGUGAGUUGUUUAGUAAAAACAUGAACGGGUCAAAUAACUAGUAAAUGAAUAUUAAGUCGAAAGCAUAUAAGUUACGAAUUUCCUUAAUCCGUGUGUUGGAUUUCAAGUUCACAUGAUAGAAUGUUAAUUUACAAUCAUGUAGGAAGAAACGUGACGCAAAACGGAUGAAAAAUGAGAGAGUUAUGUCCGUUUCGGAAGAAUUAAUGGCUAGGAAAAGUGCAAAGCUGACACGGCCGGGUGGUGAGCUGACACGGCCGGGUGAAGGUUCUGUCAAAAAUAUUAUUUAUGUGAUUUAUGCAUCGUAGGCUUCGGUAUAUUAUCCGUGGACUACGGUGGGCCUCCCAAACAUGAUUUCGAGUGUUCCCUUGACGAUUAUAAGUUGUAAACCCAAGUCUAUGCCUCAUGUAAUUUAUAUAAGAGUAUGAUAGAUGUAUGUAAUGAAGUUGGACAUGUAUUACAUGUAAAUGGUAUAUAAGAAUGCGUACGGAACACGUAGGUAUGAAUACAUGAUUGUAGGUAUGAUUGAAUGUAUAUUAGGUAUGUAGAUGUGUAUGAUUGUAAGUAUGUAUUGUGCAAGUAUGUGCGAAUGCAUGAUUUGGAUGCAUUUGAGAAUUAACGUUACUAACAAUGCCCUUGAGUUUGGGAUGUAAUGCAGGAAUGAGAAUGUCGGAUUCUUAUGAAGUUGAAGCCGAACUCGGAACAAGAGACUUAAAGAGAAUAGUCGAAUGAAUCGAAGCUAUAUUGUCGAAUAUUAUUCGAAAGUUAAUUGUAUGAGGUUGUCAAUGACUAAUGAUUAAGUUGUAUGUGAUGUUCACAGGUACCAUACGGAUUUCUUCUUCUACUAACGAAGAUGAGCGGAUGAAGAUCGAGUCAAGAGCAAGGAUUGUACGGGAAGGAUCGGUCACAUAGUUUACCAAAUGUAGGUCCGAAGUAUUAAUAUAAUGGAACGUGGUAAAUACUUUUUAAUGAGUGUAUGACAUUUGGUAUUCGAACUUUCCUGUAAGUACUAUGUCUAUUAAAGAACGAAAUUUUGGGUUCAUA